rnacentral:lncRNA from 1 species
CUUUGUAUUUUGUGCAAUCAAAAGGUUUUGUUUUGUAGUAAAUAAAAAGGAAAUAAAAAUAAAUUAGUGAAGAAAUGUCUAUUGCUCUUGUAUUGAGUAGAUGAAGUUGAGAAAUUAGUUCAAUGGCUACCAGACACGUCAGAGGAAGAAUUUAAUUUAAUCAAAAUCUUGUUGGAAAAAAGAACUAGAAACAUGUGCAAUGGCUGUAGACAACUUGAUUCUAAAUUGUCUUCGUGAAUUUGCAGAACAAGGUAUUUUCUAUUUCAUUUGUAACCUUAUGUGCCUUGCCUGUAAGUCAAGUUUAGCCUGUAACAAAGGCUUUAAGAAUUAAUUAGAGUGGAUAGAGAUAGAAAUACUCUUCUUGGCAACUAUGGAAAACCGCCAUUCUCUAAAUGCAUGGAUGAAUUAUGUUGGAUUUAGCAGAAGUUAAAUCAACCCAAGAACAUAUUGUUACUGCGCUUAAAAGGCUAGGAUGGAGAACUGAGCCAAAAAGUUUUUCGCUUUUAAGAGAUAAAUGUCACUCACUUGAAGAAUCUGAUGCUUUCAAAAACAAAGCAGCAACUAAAAUGAAGGUUACGGAUAAAGAAUGAUAAAGAGUGUAUAAUUGGGAAAUCAGUGCAAAAGUUUUAAAAGAUUCGGCGAAGCGAGUUUCGCUGCAGUAGUAUCAAACAAAUUUGGCGAGAGAUAUCGAUUCCAUUAAAUCUUCUGGAUAUCGAUUCUUUUAUUGGUGAACUUGGAGAAUUAAUGUUUUCACCUCGAACCGUAGAUAACCUGAAGGAUGUGACAUUGUUGUAAUGUAAAUUACAACAACAAUAUAUAUUUUGU